rnacentral:rRNA from 1 species
UACGGGGGGGGCAAGCGUUGUUCGGAAUUACUGGGCGUAAAGGGCCCGUAGGCGGCCAACUAAGUCAGACGUGAAAUCCCUCGGCUUAACCGGGGAACUGCGUCUGAUACUGGAUGGCUGGAGAUUGGGAGAGGGAUGCGGAAUUCCAGGUGUAGCGGUGAAAUGCGCAGAUAUCGGGAGGAACACCAGCGGCGAAGGCGGCACUCUGGGCUGGUACUGACGCUGAGGAGCGAAAGCGUGGGUAGCAAACAGG